rnacentral:lncRNA from 1 species
UUUCUCGCUCCCGAAAUCAAAAACUAAACCGGAACCAAAACCCGAUACGAGUCUUCGCCGGGAAACCGAGGAUCGCCGGAACCACCUGCCAUCGUCUUCACCAUCUCCGGCCACCACCUUCGUCGUCGUCCGGGUAAUUCUCUUGUGCACGAUCUUCUUGGAAAAUCCCUGAUUCUAUUAUCUUUUUCCAAUAUACGCAACGCAACCUAAGGCUAUGUUAAUUGCGUAACUAUGGUUUGGACAUGUGGAUUUCAUCGUUACGAGUACUUUGUGGAUGCCGGAAGAAGAUCAAGCUCAACGAAGAACCGAACACGAUAUAGUUACAUGCUUCCGCACUUGGCCUCGUCAUAA